UACGUAGGGUGCAGGCGUUAAUCGGAAUUACUGGGCGUAAAGCGUGCGCAGGCGGUCUAUUAAGACAGGUGUGAAAUCCCCGGGCUUAACCUGGGAACUGCGCUUGUAACUGAUAGGCUUGAGUGUGGCAGAGGGGGGUGGAAUUCCAGGUGUAGCAGUGAAAUGCGUAGAUAUCGGGAGGAACAUCAGUGGCGAAGGCGGCCCUCUGGUCCAGUACUGACACUCAAGUGCGAAAGCGUGGGGAGCAAACAGG
rnacentral:rRNA from 1 species